GCCUGGGUGGCUUAGUGGGUUAAAGCCUCUGUCUUCAGCUCAGGUCAUGAACCCAGGGUCUUGGGAUCGAGCCCCACAUCGGGCU
rfam:Mustela putorius furo unplaced genomic scaffold scaffold00050, whole genome shotgun sequence.